rnacentral:tRNA from 1 species
GCAUCGAUGGUGGAACUGGAAUACACAGGAGACUUAAAAUCUCCCGCCGAAAGGAUUGAGGGUUCGAAUCCCUCUCGAUGCACCA